GACGAACGCUGGCGGCGUGCUUAACACAUGCAAGUCGAACGGAAAGGCCCUGCUUUUGUGGGGUGCUCGAGUGGCGAACGGGUGAGUAACACGUGAGUAACCUGCCCUUGACUUUGGGAUAACUUCAGGAAACUGGGGCUAAUACCGGAUAGGAGCUCCUGCUGCAUGGUGGGGGUUGGAAAGUUUCGGCGGUUGGGGAUGGACUCGCGGCUUAUCAGCUUGUUGGUGGGGUAGUGGCUUACCAAGGCUUUGACGGGUAGCCGGCCUGAGAGGGUGACCGGCCACAUUGGGACUGAGAUACGGCCCAGACUCCUACGGGAGGCAGCAGUGGGGAAUAUUGCACAAUGGGCGGAAGUCUGAUGCAGCAACGCCGCGUGCGGAAUGACGGCCUUCGGGUUGUAAACCGCUUUCGCCUGUGACGAAGCGUGAGUGACGGUAAUGGGUAAAGAAGCACCGGCUAACUACGUG
rnacentral:rRNA from 1 species